GUGCCAGCCGCAGCGGUAAUACGUAGGGGCAAGCGUUGUCCGGAAUUAUUGGGCGUAAAGCGCGCGCAGGCGGUUCUUUAAGUCUGGUGUCUAAGUGCGGGGCUCAACCCCGUGAUGCACUGGAAACUGGGGACUGGAGUGCAGAAGAGGAGAGCGGAAUUCCACGUGUAGCGGUGAAAUGCGUAGAGAUGUGGAGGAACACCAGUGGCGAAGGCGGCUCUCUGGUCUGUAACUGACGCUGAGGCGCGAAAGCGUGGGAGCAAACAGGAUUAGAUACCCUGGUAGUCCACGCCGUAAACGAUGAGUGCUAGGUGGUUGGGGUAUCAGUGCCCUCGGUGCCGAAGUUACACAUUAAGCACUCCGCCGUGGGAGUACGGUCGCAAGACUGAAACUC
rnacentral:rRNA from 1 species